rnacentral:rRNA from 1 species
CAAAACAUGGCCUAUUGAUUAUAAUUUUAGGUCGAUCUGCUCCAUGAAGUAAAAUUUAAAUAGCUGCAGUAUAUUGACUGUACAAAGGUAGCAUAAUAAAUUGUCUUUUAAUUGAAGAAUUGAAUGAACGAAUUGAUGAAAUAACAACUGUCUCUAUUUUAUUGAAUGAAUUUAAAUUUUUAGUUAAAAUGCUAAAAUUUAAUUAUGGGACGAUAAGACCCUAUAGAAUUUUAUUUAAAUAAUUAUUUAUUUAAAUUAUUUGUAAAUAAAUAAUUAAUUUAAAUUUGAUUGGGAGGAUUGGUAAAUAUAAAUAACUUUAUCUUAUAAAUAAUUUUAAUUAGAAAAUAUUUUUUGAUCUAUAAAUUAUAAUUAAAAGAAUAAAUUACCUUAGGGAUAACAGCGUAAUAUCUUUUGAUAGACCAUAUUGAUAAAGAUGAUUGCGACCUCGAUGUUGAAUUAAGAUAAAAAUUAGACGCAGAAGUUUAAAAAUUUAAGUCUGUUCGACUUUUAAAAUCUUACAUGAUUUGAGUUCAAAUCGACGUAGU